UCCAUAGGCAUUGACCUGAUGCCUGAAUAGGGUAGGGCAGAGGAAUUCCCGGGUAGCGGUGAUAUGCGUAGAUAUCGGGAAGAACACCAGUGGCGAAGGCGCUCUGCUGGUCAUUACUGACGCUCAUGGACGAAAGGCCAGGGGAGCGAAAGGGAUUAGAUACCCCUGUAGUCCUGGCCGUAAACGAUGAACACUAGGUGUCGGGGGAAUCGACCCCUUCGGUGUCGUAGCUAACGCGUUAAGUGUUCCGCCUGGGGAGUACGCACGCAAGUGUGAAACUCAAAGGAAUUGACGGGGGCCCGCACAAGCGGUGGAGUAUGUGGUUUAAUUCGAUGCAACGCGAAGAACCCUUACCCAGGGUUUGACAUCCUGCGAACCUCUUAGAAAUUUGAGGGUGCCUUCGGGAAUGCAGUGACAGGUGGUGCAUGGCUGUCGUCAGCUCGUGUCGUGAGAUGUUGGGUUAAGUCCCGCAACGAGCGCAACCCACGUUUUUAGUUGCCAGCAUUUAGUUGGGCACUCUAGAAAGACCGCCGGUGAUAAACCGGAGGAAGGUGUGGAUGACGUCAAGUCAUCAUGCCCCUUACACCCUGGGCUACACACGUACUACAAUGCUACGGACAAAGGGCAGCAAACUCGCGAGAGCUAGCAAAUCCCAUAAACCGUGGCUCAGUUCAGAUCGUAGGCUGCAACUCGCCUACGUGAAGUAGGAAUCGCUAGUAAUCGCAGGUCAGCAUACUGCGGUGAAUACGUUCCCGGGCCUUGUACACACCGCCCGUCACACCAUGGAAGUUGGCCAUGCCCGAAGUCGUUACUCCAACCCUUGUGGAGGAGGACGCCGAAGGUGGGGCUAAUGACUGGGGUGAAGUCGUAACAAGGUAA
rnacentral:rRNA from 1 species